rnacentral:rRNA from 1 species
UACACUCCUACGGGAGGCAGCAGUGGGGAAUAUUGCACAAUGGGCGCAAGCCUGAUGCAGCCAUGCCGCGUGUAUGAAGAAGGCCUUCGGGUUGUAAAGUACUUUCAGCGGGGAGGAAGGCAAUACGGUUAAUAACCGUGUUGAUUGACGUUACCCGCAGAAGAAGCACCGGCUAACUCCGUGCCAGCAGCCGCGGUAAUACGGAGGGUGCAAGCGUUAAUCGGAAUUACUGGGCGUAAAGCGCACGCAGGCGGUCUGUCAAGUCGGAUGUGAAAUCCCCGGGCUCAACCUGGGAACUGCAUUCGAAACUGGCAGGCUUGAGUCUUGUAGAGGGGGGUAGAAUUCCAGGUGUAGCGGUGAAAUGCGUAGAGAUCUGGAGGAAUACCGGUGGCGAAGGCGGCCCCCUGGACAAAGACUGACGCUCAGGUGCGAAAGCGUGGGGAGCAAACAGGAUUAGAAACCCGUGUAGUCCCAUG